UGGUGCACCGCGAGGUUGGCGUAUCCGCCUCCCGGGCAGAUCACGAUCGCGGCCGUCGGCCCGGCCGAGCCUUCGGCCUGCGGUGCC
rnacentral:tRNA from 1 species